rnacentral:rRNA from 1 species
AUGCGGUAUGACGGUACCCUUUCGAAUAAGAGGUUGCUAACUCUGUGCCAGCAGCAGCGGUAAUACAGAGACCUCGAGCGUUAUCCGGAUUUACUGGGCGUAAAGCGUCUGUAGGGGGUUUGUUAAGUUCCAAGUAAAAUCUUAAGGCUCAACUUUAAGUUCGCUUGGAAAACUAAUAAACUGGAGUCCAGCAGAGGUGCAUGGAACUUGCGGUGUAGGAGUGAAAUCCGUUGAUAUCGCAAGGAACACCAAAGGCGAAGGCAUUGCACUGGGCUGGUACUGACCCUGAGAGACGAAAGCGUGGGGAGCAAAACGGAUUAGAUACCCGUGUAGUCCACGCCGUAAACGAUGGAUACUAGAUGUUCGGGGAUUCGACCCCCUGGGUGUCACAGCUAACGCGUUAAGUAUCCCGCCUGGGAAGUACGGCCGCAAGGCUAAAACUCAAAGGAAUAGACGGGGAUCCGCACAAGCGGUGGAGCGUCUGGUUUAAUUUGAUAGUAAGCAAUGGACCUCACCAAGGUUUGACAUCCUAUGACAACCCUGGAAACAGGGCUUCCUUCGGGCAUAGUGACAGGUGCUGCAUGGUCGUCGUCAGUUCGUGCCGUGAGGUGUUCCGUUAAGUCGGGAAACGAACGAAACCCUCGUCGCAUGUUACAAAUUUCAUGCGAGACUGCCCGGGUCAACCGGGAGGAAGGCGGGGAUGACGUCAGAUCAGCAUGGCCCUUAUACCUUGGGCUACACAGGCGCUACAAUGGCCGGUACAAAGGGUUGCAAAACCGCGAGGUGAAGCUAAUCCCAUAAAGCCGGUCCAAGUUCGGAUUGGAGGCUGCAACUCGCCUCCAUGAAGUUGGAAUCGCUAGUAAUCGUGGAUCAGCCAUACCACGGUGAAUACGUUCCCGGAUCUUGUACUCACCGCCCGUCACACCAAGAGAGUUGG